UACGGAGGGUGCAAGCGUUAUCCGGAUUUAUUGGGUUUAAAGGGUCCGUAGGCGGGCCGAUAAGUCAGUGGUGAAAUCUCGCAGCUUAACUGUGAAACUGCCAUUGAUACUGUUGGUCUUGAGUAAAUUUGAAGUGGCUGGAAUAAGUAGUGUAGCGGUGAAAUGCAUAGAUAUUACUUAGAACACCAAUUGCGAAGGCAGGUCACUAAGAUUUAACUGACGCUGAUGGACGAAAGCGUGGGUAGCGAACAGG
rnacentral:rRNA from 2 species